rnacentral:rRNA from 1 species
GCUAUACAUGCAGUCGAGCGCAGGAAGUUAUCUGAUCCUCUUUUAGAGGUGACGAUAUGGAAUGAGCGGCGGACGGGUGAGUAACACGUAGGCAACCUGCCUGUAAGACUGGGAUAACUCGUGGAAACGCGAGCUAAUACCGGAUAACACUUUUCAUCUCCUGAUGAGAAGUUGAAAGGCGGCUUUUGCUGUCACUUACAGAUGGGCCUGCGGCGCAUUAGCUAGUUGGUAAGGUAAUGGCUUACCAAGGCGACGAUGCGUAGCCACCUGAGAGGGUGAUCGGCCACACUGGGACUGAGACACGGCCCAGACUCCUACGGGAGGCAGCAGUAGGGAAUCUUCCGCAAUGGACGAAAGUCUGACGGAGCAACGCCGCGUGAGUGAUGAAGGUUUUCGGAUCGUAAAACUCUGUUGUUAGGGAAGAACAAGUGCCAUAGUAACUGAUGGCACCUUGACGGUACCUAACCAGAAAGCCACGGCUAACUACGUGCCAGCAGCCGCGGUAAUACGUAGGUGGCAAGCGUUGUCCGGAAUUAUUGGGCGUAAAGCGCUCGCAGGCGGUUCUUUAAGUCUGAUGUGAAAUCUUACGGCUCAACCGUAACGUGCAUUGGAAACUGGGGAACUUGAGUGCAGAAGAGGAGAGUGGAAUUCCACGUGUAGCGGUGAAAUGCGUAGAGAUGUGGAGGAACACCAGUGGCGAAAGCGACUCUCUGGUCUGUAACUGACGCUNAGGAGCGAAAGCGUGGGGAGCGAACAGGAUUAGAUACCCUGGUAGUCCACGCCGUAACGAUGAGUGCUAGUGUUAAGGGGGUUUCCGCCCCUUAGUGCUGAAGUUAACGCAAUAAGCACUCCGCCCGGGGAGUACGGCCGCAAGGCUGAAACUCAAAGAAUUGACGGGGGCCCGCACAAGCGUGGAGCAUGUGGUUUAAUUCGAAGCAACGCGAGAACCU